CAGGAUAUCUCGCUGUUCACCUCGGCAUUCACCGGGCCAGCUGGCGGGGGUCUUCCAGGAAGGGGUCCUGUCUCCCCCUCCCCCUUCUUUCCUUAGGUGCGCUGGGAUUACAGGCACCUGCCUCGCCAUCGGGCCCAGCACAUACUGGACAUUCUUCAGGAUGUGGACAAGAUGAAGAAAACCCCUGAAAUACUGUUGCAUCUUCCCUGGGACCAAAGCCCUGGGAAACAGGUCUUAACAAUACUGGCCACAACUGAAACUGAGCUAGCCACCAGAGCCAAGAGCUUUGCCAGGAAAGGCGAGUCCCUGCCAUUCAGCAGAAGGCUUGUGCUGCCGCUGGGACCCACAAGGC